rnacentral:rRNA from 1 species
GGAUUAGAUACCCUGGUAGUCCACGCUGUAAACGAUGGUUACUAGAUGUUCGAUCCUUCGGGGUUGAGUGUCCAAGCGAAAGCGAUAAGUAACCCACCUGGGGAGUACGUUCGCAAGAAUGAAACUCAAAGGAAUUGACGGGGGCCCGCACAAGCGGUGGAGCAUGUGGUUUAAUUCGAUGAUACGCGAGGAACCUUACCUGGGCUACAAUGCCUUGGCCAGUCCCUGAAAGGGGAUUUUCCUUCGGGACCAAGUGCAAGGUGCUGCAUGGUUGUCGUCAGCUCGUGUCG